UUUCUGAACAUUACAAUCUCAGAUUGUGGGAAGAACAGUUUAAUGUAAAAAUCUCUGUUUUACGUUAAAAUCUGCUGUAGCCCUCAUCCUGAGCCCACGGGUCAUUUCCUGAAAUCAAUUGUGGGAGCCAUGAGCCUGAUGGGAACAGGAGUUAGCUUCAUCUGUUUUUCACAGCAGUUCAUCCGGAUUUGCAGAAAGGACUCAGGUCUGCGUGCAUGUGGCUGGAGCCCUCCACUCAGAGGCCUGCUUGCUGCCUGGGAGGUCCUGACACCGACCCUCUUCAGGAUUACGAUUUGAAAGAUGGAGAAGUGGGGAAGAAUGAUGUGUGGGAGUAUGGGGCAAGGAUAUUCCUCAACUUCAGCCCCUCACAACUUGUGGGAACCCAAUGCCAAUGGGUGCAACCUCAGCCACAAAGCCACAGUGGUCGCCUUUUUCCUGUUUUUCUUGGUCACGGAUAUCUAAGAAGACUUCUUAAGGUGAGUAAAGUCAGGGAUGAAGAAGGGGACAUAGGAAUCUCUACUUCUAUUCUUAUAAUCAUAUUGGGCAAAUAUCUGUCACCAUUGCACUGUGAGAUUUGGGAUUGCUUCAAUCCAGUGAGUAGAGGAAGCAAGAGAGGUGUGUGAGUGUGUGUGUCUGUGUGUGUUUGAGGAGUGAAUCUGAGUCCAGCCUCAUGUACACUGUGGAAUGGCUAUCACAGACUCUGACAGCCUAGAUCCACAGAAAGCAGUGCUGUGUAGAUAAAACAUAGUAUGUUUGCCUCCACAGAGGCGUUACCUCUGGCUUCUGUGGCCACUCUCUGCUGCUCCAUGUUUGUAGAUUCUGUAAGUCUCCAUAGUCCACUUGGAUUCCUCCAAGGGCUGCUGCUAACUAGUUGUCUGAUCUCUGAAAACUCAUCUUGCCUCUUUGGAUGUCAGCUUCCUUGUCUGUCAACAGAACAGGGUUCACCUCAUGAUCUCUAGAGCUCUUCCAAUUUGGAAUUCUGUAACUCUGAUGUCAACGCUGGAUUCCUUUCCACUCUGGGGGGCUGGGGUCACUUCAUGCCUUGCCCUGGGGUCAUCUGUGCUUCUGGGAACAGCACCACAGACUCCACAAUCCCUUGUCCACCGCUGGGUGGUGUAACCAUACAUUUGUGAAUGAUGGAACAUCGCAGGAGAUGGGAAGAAGGAAAACACUACUAUCGAAGACAAGGAUGGUUUUCAUUCCCUACCUUAAUUUUGUAUUGCUUGCCUACUAAGUGUCAAGCAGUGUUCCAAAUAGUCUUUUUUUUUUUUUUUNAAGAUUUUAUUUUUUUAUCCAUGAGAGA
rnacentral:lncRNA from 1 species